rnacentral:rRNA from 1 species
ACCCUGGUAGUCCACGCCGUAAACGAUGUCGACUUGGAGGUUGUGCCCUUGAGGCGUGGCUUCCGGAGCUAACGCGUUAAGUCGACCGCCUGGGGAGUACGGCCGCAAGGUUAAAACUCAAAUGAAUUGACGGGGGCCCGCACAAGCGGUGGAGCAUGUGGUUUAAUUCGAUGCAACGCGAAGAACCUUACCUGGUCUUGACAUCCACGGAAGUUUUCAGAGAUGAGAAUGUGCCUUCGGGAACCGUGAGACAGGUGCUGCAUGGCUGUCGUCAGCUCGUGUUGUGAAAUGUUGGGUUAAGUCCCGCAACGAGCGCAACCCUUAUCCUUUGUUGCCAGCGGUCCGGCCGGGAACUCAAAGGAGACUGCCAGUGAUAAACUGGAGGAAGGUGGGGAUGACGUCAAGUCAUCAUGGCCCUUACGACCAGGGCUACACACGUGCUACAAUGGCGCAUACAAAGAGAAGCGACCUCGCGAGAGCAAGCGGACCUCAUAAAGUGCGUCGUAGUCCGGAUUGGAGUCUGCAACUCGACUCCAUGAAGUCGGAAUCGCUAGUAAUCGUGGAUCAGAAUGCCACGGUGAAUACGUUCCCGGGCCUUGUACACACCGCCCGUCACACCAUGGGAGUGGGUUGCAAAAGAAGUA